GAGUUUGAUCGUGGCUCAGAUUGAACGCUGGCGGCAGGCCUAACACAUGCAAGUCGAGCGGAUGAGAGGAGCUUGCUCCUUGAUUCAGCGGCGGACGGGUGAGUAAUGCCUAGGAAUCUGCCUGAUAGUGGGGGACAACGUUUCGAAAGGACGCUAAUACCGCAUACGUCCUACGGGAGAAAGCAGGGGACCUUCGGGCCUUGCGCUAUCAGAUGAGCCUAGGUCGGAUUAGCUAGUAGGUGAGGUAAUGGCUCACCUAGGCGACGAUCCGUAACUGGUCUGAGAGGAUGAUCAGUCACACUGGAACUGGGACACGGUCCAGACUCCUACGGGAGGCAGCAGUGGGGAAUAUUGGACAAUGGGCGAAAGCCUGAUCCAGCCAUGCCGCGUGUGUGAAGAAGGUCUUCGGAUUGUAAAAGCACUUUAAGUGGUAGAAGGGCUGCAAGUUAAUACCUUGUAGUUUUG
rnacentral:rRNA from 1 species